GUGCCAGCCGCCGCGGUAAUACGAAGGGUGCAAGCGUUACUCGGAAUUACUGGGCGUAAAGCGUGCGUAGGUGGUUUGUUAAGUCUGUCGUGAAAUCCCCGGGCUCAACCUGGGAAUGGCGAUGGAUACUGGCAAGCUAGAGUGAGGUAGAGGAGAGUGGAAUUCCCGGUGUAGCAGUGAAAUGCGUAGAGAUCGGGAGGAACAUCAGUUGCGAAGGCGGCUCUCUGGACCAUCACUGACACUGAGGCACGAAAGCGUGGGGAGCAAACAGGAUUAGAUACCCUGGUAGUCCACGCCCUAAACGAUGCGAACUGGACGUUGGGCUCAAUUAGGAGCUCAGUGUCGAAGCUAACGCGUUAAGUUCGCCGCCUGGGGAGUACGGUCGCAAGACUGAAACUCAAAGAAAUUGACGG
rnacentral:rRNA from 1 species